AUGCCGGCCACAGCCUCGAGCUCCCUCCGGCUCCCGGUGAUGCUGAACAUGCUGGCCCUACCAGGGACCCACAGCGAUGGUUCCAGCACCUUCUACGCGCCAUCGCUCCAGGGCCGGGUCAGGAUCUCCAGGGACAGCGGGCAGAGCUCGGUGACGCUGACCAUGACCGACCUCCGGGUCGAGGAUUCCGGAUCCUAUUUCUGUGGGAAAUCUUCUGAUACUGGUGCUGGUGCUGCAUAUCGUUUCCCAUCCCCAUCUGCCCUUGUCCCCGCAGGGCUCCGGGCGGCCGUGACCCUGCUGGAGUGCGGGGGGGACCUCCAGCCCCCCGGGGGCUCCCUGCGCCUCCUCUGCCGAGGGUCUGGGUUCGAUUUCGGGAGUUUUGGGAUGUUCUGGAUCCGCCAGAGACCCGGGCAGGGGCUGGAGUGGCUCGCGGGGAUCGACAUCCUUGGCAGCACCGACUACGUGCCGUCGGUGCAGGGCCGGGUCAGGAUCUCCAGGGACGACGGGCAGAGCUCGGUGACGCUGACCAUGACCGACCUGCGGGACGAGGAUUCCGGAUCCUAUUUCUGUGCCAAAGGUGCUGUGGCUGGUUGGGGUGCUGCUGCUGCUGCUGGUCUUACCCGUGACCAUUGA